UUUUUGGGGCCACAUCUGAAGCAUAUGGAAUUUCCCAGGCUAGGGGCUGAAUCAGAGCUGUAGCUGCUGGCCUAAGCCAUAGCCACAGCAAUGCCAGAUCCUAGCCACGUCUGUGAUCUACACCACCGCUCACGGCAAUGCCGGAUCCUUUGACCCACUGAGCAAGGCCAGGGAUUGAACUCGCAUCCGCACAGGCACUAAAUGGGUUCUUAAGUCUCAGUGGGAACUCCCUAUUUACUACUGUUUUAAGACAUAGUCAUGAUCUUCUACUUCUAAAAAAACAUAUGUGCUUUGGAUCAUAUCAAUCUGUAUUUAAUACAGUUCUACCCUCCUGGGAGCAGUUAGAACAUAACACUAACAGUCUCAUGGCUCUCGGGAUGGAAGAAUCCCUUUAUCAUUCAGCCCAGCAGAAUUGUGCCCCAACUUCCUUUCUGAUUUGUUUGUUUGCUGUCAACUAAAGGUCUGGGAUUUGAGGACUGACCUCUUAAGAGUCCAUCUAAUUGCUAUCUCCUGAGAGUCUGAUGUUCUGACUUAACGAAAGAGCACAAAAAGGCUCCCAUGAACCAGAACGCUUUGUCGAAGACAUUUGGUUUUUUUUUCUUGUUCAUGGCAUUGAUUGCCAUUAGUAGAUUAUGUGCUCCCUCCUACUUUAUCUCAUAAGUUGUAAAAGGUCUAUGCUCAAAAGGAUUCUCCUCUCUCUGUGACAAAGGAUAUUGUCUGAAGUAUUUUUCUCACUUCCCCGGAAUAGGUCUAGUGAUUAAAAAAAAAAGGCCAUAAAUGUUAAUUCACUAUCUCAAUAAAACCUACAAACUCUACUGCAUUUUACCGGGUUCUCUACAAGAUCCAGACAUGGAGGACACAUUCUCAACCUUUAAAGAGCUCAUCCAAAUAAUAACAGUUAUUAGCCUCUGAUGACAGGUAUUAUAAUAAUUAAAUUACAUAAACUGUCUCUAACCUUAGGUAACCAAUGAAUAAGCUGAGGCUCAGGGAAAUAUGCUGAUUUGCCUCAGGGAACACGUCUAGUAAUUUGUAGAGAUGGUGAUUUGGCUGCAUUGGAAUCAAUAGGAAAAAGAAGGGAAUGGGUGUUCCCGUCGUGGCUCAGUGAUUAAUGAAUCUGACUAGGAACCAUGAGGUUGCGGGUUCGAUCCCUGGCCUCGCUCAGUGGGUUAAGGAUCUGGCAUUGCUGUGGCUGUGGUGUAGGCCGGUGGCUACAGCUCUGAUUCGACCCCUAGCCUGGGAACCUCCAGGCUAGGGGAGGCCCAAGAAAUGGCAAAAAGACAAAAAAAAAGAAGGGAACGAUAGCAGGCUGUGCACAGUCUUACCUUCUCUUUGACACCAUCUCCAACUAUUUUGUCUGUGAUUUAUUCUCCAUUUUAUAAACACUGUAAGAAUUUAUUAUCUGGUCCACACAUUUCAAUUAUUAUUUAGAUACCGCUGUACAUUCUAUGUGAAGGUUCAAAGGUACAAGAUGGGAACAGGUGAGACAUUAACGAAGCACCACUCUCACUUACGGCUGAGCCUCUCUUCCUCAGAGGGUGUCGAGUUGAGACCGGCUGGAGAGGCAACCAGGUAGAUGGCAGACUGCGGAGAUUACCUGAAAAGGCAAGAGGAGGGGAGAGCCAAGAAAAACUGGAUAAGCCAUGUUAUAGGGAACAGUAGUUCAAACCCAAGGGUGAAUAAUUUUGUAUUUAAGUCCCAAAUGGUAACUGAAGAAAGAUGAGGAAAUCCGUUGUUCAAACUAUUUUUGUUCAAUCAUCAGACUAGGGGGUUGGGAUAGCAUGUCCCAAAAAGCCACUACAGGUUCUUAAGUUAGUAAUGGAAUAGGGGAUGAUUUCUGAGGAAAGAAUGUGGAGGAAGUAGAAAAUAAUAAAGCCAAAAGAGAAAACCAGCUGCUUGUGAUGGAAUGCAGGAAAGCACAUUUCUUCAGAGGAAACAAAAAGAAACAAAAUAAAAGAAGGUGCCCACUCUCCCUUUAUCUCUCCAUUUUAUAACCUUACUGAAGCUAUUUUUCCUAUACACUAGACCUUCUAAGAAUGAGGCUUAGCCCAUUAAACCACCCUGCUCCCCGCCCGCUCCGCCGCCUUUGGCUUCACUGUCCCAUAUUUUUUCAGACAAUCUUACUUACUUAAGUUCUUUUAUCUAAUGCUCAUAACUCAUCCAUACUCAUCCACCUAUCUAAUGGCUGGAUGUGGUAGCCAGUCUCCAAGAUAGCCUCCAAUGUCCUUACCUUCCUGGUAUUCAUGGUUUGUGUGGUCCCUUCUUACACUGUAUCCAUUUGACCAAUAGAAUAUACAAAUGCAAAGGUGUCGGGAGUUCCCGUCGUGGCGCAGUGGUUAACGAACCCGACUAGGAACCAUGAGGUUGUGGGUUCGGUCCCUGCCCUUGCUCAGUGGGUUAACGAUCCGGCGUUGCCGUGAGCUGUGGUUGCAGACUCAGCUCGGAUCCUGCGUUGUUGUGGCUCUGGUGUAGGCCGGCGGCUACAGCUCCGAUUCGACCCCUAGCCUGGGAACCUCCAUAUGCUGCGAGAGCGGCCCGAGAAAUGGCAAAAAGAAAAAAAAAAAAAAAAAAAAGGAUAUACUGUAUAGCAGAAGGAAUUAUACCUAUAUCUCUGUAAUAACCUAUAAUGGAGUAUAAUCUGCAAAAAUACUGAAUCACAACACUGUACACCUGAAAUUAACACAAUAUUGUAAAUCAACUAUAUUUCAAUUCCAAAAAACCCUUAAAUUUGCAAGUGCACUUUAAUGUUCUCAAGGAACAGUGAGCUCAGAGGUCUGCUUGAAGUGCCACCUGCUGGUAGCAACUUUUAGCAUCCCAAGCAGGCUGGAAUAAUCGUUGCUGACGGCCAGUGCUAACCUGUGACACCUUUCCAAGGUAAACCCUGACUACCUAUUUUAUGCCUCUUCUGAGAAUUAGCUUCUUCAAUUCCCAGAGAUAACAACACCUGCCUUGGCUUCUUCACAGGAAUGCUAAAAUAUGAUACCCCUGAACACAGAACAUCAUAUAAACAUGUAAGGAGUUCUAAUGAUCAUACUUUCUAGCCUCUUAUCUCUCCUGCUUUACCAAUUCAUUUCUUUCUGCCUGCAAACAUGCAGAAGUAUCCAUUAAUAGAAAAAAAGCAAAUAUGAAAAAAAAACCCUUUUCAAUGGAUUUCCCCACCACCACCCCAUCACUGCCAAACCUCUCAAAGGCUUAGUCUGCCACCCCCAACUUCAUAUAAAAUUUCCAUCAUUUAUCCAUAAAAUUCACAGACUGCUUCCUGGACAUUUCCAUGAAAGUUAGGUAAGAAAUGAACAAAAUAAUUGCUCAACAAGAGAAGCCACUUGACUUGGUUGGCAUGAUUUGGUAUCAUCCUCAUUUUACAAAGAAACUGAUUAUUGGAAAGGGUUAAAAGGAAGGAAGGAAGCAAGCAAAUCAGACAGGUUAGAAUCACUCAGAAAGAGGUAACCAGGACCAGCUAUACAAUUUGAGGCUCCCAGGGCAAUAUGAAAAUGUAGGGCAGCUUGUUUGAAAAACAAGAAAAGGAGUUCCCAUUGUGGUUCAGCGGUAAAGAAUGCGACUAGUAUCCAUGAGGAUGCAGGUUAGAUUCGUGGCCCUGCUCAGUGGGUUAAGGACCCAGUGUUGCUGUGAACUGUGGGGUAGGUCACAGACAUGGCUCAGAUCCUGCAUUGCUGUGACAGUGGUGUUGGCCUGCAACUACAGCUCCAAUUCAACCCCUAGCCUGGGAACUUCCAUAUGCCAUGGGUGCAGCCCUAAAGAGACAAAAAAAAAAAAAAAAAAAAGUGCUGUUUAAGGUAUUAAACUACAAGGCCUUUUCCCUUCUCCUGUGGUCUCUCCCUCAACUUGCCAUGGUACUUGUUUGUUUUAAUUUUUAUUUAAUGUCAUUCCAAGUAAAGGGAAAUUAAAAUUUUAAAUUAAUGGCAUGAAUUUUGCCAUUCAUCUUUAUAUUUUGCAAUGCUAGUUUUUUGCUUUUCUUUUUAGGGCCACAUGUAUGACACAUGGAAAUUCCUGGGCUAGGGGUUGAAUUGGAGCUGCCUCUACUUAUCUACACCACAGCCAUAGCAACUCGGGACCCGAGCAUCUGCAACCUAUGCCACAGCUUGCUGUGAUGCCAGAUCCUUAACCCACUGAGUGAGGCCAGGGAUUGAACUCACAUCCUCACGGACAUUAUGUCAGGUUCUUAACCUGCUGAGCCACAAUGGGAAUUCUUGCAAUGGUAGUUUUAAAUGCAAAUAUAAGAGCAUUUAUUUCAUAUGUAGAAUCACCAAAAUCACACAAUUGGUAUUUCAUAGCUCAUGUAUGCAUCUAUACUUCAUUCUUAUAAGAACAGUGGAAAUGCUGCACAGAACUAACUCAACUGUUUUUAUUUUACUUCUUGAUGUGUGUGUAUUCUACCAACACUUUCUACCUUUGCUUAUUGAUGAAUAAGAAAACCCUGAAAGGAAAAGGAACUAUGGGUUAAUCUAUCUUUCCCUUUUCUUUAUGUCAUAUUUAAUGUAAGUGGUUGGCUAAUUCAGUAUAGCAACAGGUGUUAGAGCAGAAAAUCAAAGACGAGGCAGGAGGCCAGAGUGCCAAGACUUCGAGCACUGAGACUUUAACUUGGAGUUUUAUUGACCAACAGAUUGGCCAGAAGCACUGAGAGAGAACUCAGGCUCUCUGCUCCUUAGAGAGAAGUUAGUUAUAUAGAAAAAGGGGUAGCACAGGUUUGUUCUUGUUCUUGUUCUUGGGCUAAGUCAGUAUUCAAGGGGAAGUGGGAGGCAAUCUCUUUAGGAAUGAUUUUGGGUAGGAGAUAGAGGUAAAUUGUAAAGAAACAUCCAGUGACAAAUGACUGCUAACUCCAAGGCAGUUAGUUCAUUGUUGGGGGAGGGAUUAGCCUUCUAGACUAUAAGUCUGAUUAGAGUUUUGGUGGUGCCUAGCAAGUCAUGUCCAAUUCUCCACCUAAGAACAGGAACAAGAGAGAAUAUGAUGAGAUUCCUUGGUCAUUUAUGUUGCUUUGAAUGUCAUUGCCAUCUUUCUGCAUUCAGAACAAGUCCUGGUUCCAAUGGAAAAUGUGGCCUCUAGGGUGUUGUCAGCAUCCCUGCUUGCUCAGUUGUAGGCACGACAUACUUUGUACUCACUUGGAGUUUCAAUAAACUUCUGCACAUGGUGGUUCCCCUGGAAUCCUGUAUUCAUUGGGUAUUGUGAAUGCUCCAUGGGAAGGGGGCAGCAAGGGAUGGUGGGCCCACGUAUAAUGGAGCAGGAUCCUGUGGAGUCUCCCUGGGGCAGGCCCUUCCCCCAUAUCCUCUGCUUUAGCUCCUCUCUGAAGUACCUAGGUAACAGUAUCUGAUGUGCAUUUCCUGAGUAGUUUUACAAAUGUGAAAAUCACCACCCCUCAACCAAAUGGAAGAUAUUAACAACUCGAUGAACAUGAGCAUAUAAAGCCCCAGGCCUCCUGGAGCCUAAGGACUGAUCAUGGUAACUCCUGUGACAUUGCCCUGUAACCUCACCAUCAGCCAAUCAGAAUUGUGCACGAGCUGAUCAUUUACCCUGAGACCACACUACCCCCCCCCCCAUCUCCACUAGCUUUUAAAAUGCUGUGGUGCAGUGGGUUAAGGAUCCAGCAUUGCUGCAAUUGUGUCAUAAGCCAUGCUUCAGCUUGGAUUUGAUCUCUGGCCUGAAAACUUACAUAUACUGUGGGUGCAGCUGAAAAAGAAGGGGAAAGUAAGCUUUAUAAAUUUGGUUCAGGAAGUUCCAAAGUGCAUUGGGCACAGGAACUUGCACGAAUACAUUAUCACAGCCAUCUCCUCUAAUUCACGUGCAUAUUCCAUUGUCCCAUCAGACUUUGCUUAUAAAACACAAGUUUAGGAUUUCCCCUGUGGCCCAAUGGGUUAAAGAUCCAGUGUUGUCACUGCAGUAGCUCAGGUCACUGCUGUGGUAUAGGUUUGAUUCCUGGCCUGAGAAUUUCCACACGCCACAGGAACAGCCAAAAACAUUUUUUAAAAUAAAUAAAAACACAAGUUCAAAGAUAAAAUUAUUAAUAAUUUCAAGAUAGCAACAAAAGAGCACUAAAGUAAGUGUGGGGCCCUUCUAAGUGCUGAGCCCUGCUGCAUGCUCACAAAGCCAGCUCUGGAGUAGCUAAGUGAGCAAAGAGCUCAUAUCUGACUCCAGGGGCAAGUCCCUUAACACGUCACAUGGAGUCAACUCAAAUAACACAGGGCAAGGCAUUGGCAGAGUGACAAAGAAUGCCAAGAAGAUGAGAAAGUUUUCAGGGGCUACAUAAUAGGCAACAUUGAACUGCUGGCCUUGGCUCUAGAAGGGUUAGAGAAGUUCCUAAAGACGAUAAAAGACUGAGGUAUAGGAGAAUGGGAAGGGGUAAAGGAAGUAAAACCUGGGAGGAGAAUGAUGAGGAGGUAGAAAGAAGUGCUUGGAAGAACAUGACUGUCAGAAGGAUAGAACAGCCUAGUUAUUUUCAGCAGAUGUAUAGACUGGCAGAGAUUAUAACUUAAAAGUAGGUCAGUUCCCAAGGGUAGGACAGACAUCUUAACCUCUCGAUGUUCAGGGAGCAUUCAUUUUGGCAGCCUGCAUCUAUACAGUACUUUCAAAAAGGGGUGAGGCCAGAGAAGCAAGGAACAAGUACCACGAGUCCAAUAAAGCAUUUUUACAAGAGGCAGGGCAAUCCUGGGGUAUAUUCCUCAGAAGGCCAGGUAGGAGGUCCAAUCAAGGAGGUCUAUCUGCCAACUGGUAGGACCUGCUACAAGGCUGAGGCCAGGGGACAGCUAGAAUGGAGGCAGGGUCCCUGAUCAAGAAAUGGACAAGGAAUGAGAGUCAUUAUCGAUGGGUACAGGGUUUUUGUUGUGGAUGAUGAAAAAGUUUGGGGUAUAAAUGUUGGUAAUGGUUACACAACAUUGUGAAUAUGAAUGUCACUGAGUUGCACGUUUGUGAAUAGUUCAAAUGUAAGCAUUAUAUUAUGUGUAUUUACUAUACUUAAAAAAAAAGACUCUGGAAAAAAAUAGAAUAGGGUAUUAGAUUUACCAGACCAAGGAAGGACCAGAGAUCCAAAGAUUAGAAUUAAAGUAUAUAUACCUUGGGGUACAUAUAUGGGGUGAGGGUAGGGGCUCUUAAAGACACCUCUUCUUUUCUCAGAAGAGGAAGCAAAGCAGCUUGAGAUGGACACCUCUUUACUUGCCUGGGAAGGCUUCCUCAUUUGAGUAGCUACUGUGCCCGAUCCUGGAGAUGGACUUUGGGGCCGAGACCACAGGGAUGUGGGCAAGGCAGAGGGUGAAUUCUGCCAUGUGCACCAGGCCUUGGCCCAGGCCACAACUAAGGGACAUCUUAAAGGCUCUAAGGUCCUCAUUUAGGCACUGAAUUUCUUCUUGGAAUUCCUUCAGGGGUCUUGAAACCCCAGCCCCAGGAACCAAGUAGGAUCUAGCUUCAAGUAUGCUUAGAGAGAAAGUCCACAUUGGCAUCCCAGAUCUCCAGCCUUCUUUUAAGAGUCAGGUCCUCAACCCUUGUGACUGGCAGAGCACAUCCAGCCAUCCCUGGCUUAGGGAUGAUGGCUGUGAUGGAAAGGGAUAGGAAUGUUGCUGGGGGCGGGGGAGGGGGGAGUUGAGAUGCUGAGAUGAGGUGGAAAGAUGGCUGGACUAUUUUUAGGGAUAGAGAGAGAUAAAGGAUGGUUCAAUCAGAUGAAGUUUGGCAGCUGGAAUGAGAUAUAAAGAGAGAAGGAAGGGAAAAAAAAGUUAAGGAAUUGAGAUUUCGGUGCCCCAGCAAUCAUUCAUUCAAAUGUUUAAUGAGCACCUUAAACUGUGCCAGACACUGAUCUAGAGAUAGAGCAGCAACAGAGAACUAGACAAGACACUCAAAGAUCUUGAGUCUAGCACUGAAGAUAGAUCAUCAAACAGUUACACCAAACUAUGAUGAAUAUUAUGAUGAGGGAAAAAGACAAGGCCAGCGAAGGAAAAUGAGUUCAUAGUAAUUAGAAUUAGGUUCUGCAACAUAUAACAGAUAUUAGGCUGUUGCUUAAAUGAGAUAAACAUUCUUUUUUUUCACACAUAAAAGAAGUCCAAGGCUGGAAUGGCAGUUCCACAUAUCUUAAAAGGAGGGGCUGUUAUCAUAUUGUUUUAUUAUGGCAGCUUCCAUCUUCAGUGUUACCUCAUGCUCCAAGAUGGCUGCUGGAGCUCCAACCAUUGUUUCUGAGUUGAAGACUGCAAAAAAGAGGCAAAAAAAGAGACCCACUUCUGUUGAAUCAACUUCUUUUGAGCAGCCUUCCUGGAAGUCCUAUUUCCUUGGAAGACUUGGGACUUGGUUGUACCCCAAUUCAAGGGAAACUGGGCAGCAAUGUGGCCAGCUAAAAUUCAGGUUUUGAUAAAAAGGAGGAAAGAAAUAUUUAAGGCUGCAUUAGAUAGCAGUCUCUAGCACGAUGUUUUCAUCCUUUGCAGGUGAUACUCAUGAAUAUUGAGGACUGAAUGCUCAGAAACAUGAUGUUGAAUUCUAGCAGAACUACCAAAGAUUAUUAUUUUUGAAAAUAGUAUUCUCUUUUAGUAGAAGGCAUAAUUUAUAAAGAAAAAAUAUACAUAUAGUCUUUUUAGGGCCACACCUGAGGCAUAUGGAAGUUCCCAGGCGAGGGGUCAAAUCAGAGUUGUAGCUACUGGCCCACACCACAGGUUACAGCAAUGCCGGAUCCUUAAUUCACUGGGCCAGCCUCGUGGAUACUAGUC
rnacentral:lncRNA from 1 species